CAUAAUGCACUCCAGGGGGGGAUGAGAAGCCCCGACCGGGGUUCGACAACUGGCGACAGCCAGUUGGACAGACCACGAACGCAGUGAGUGGGCUGCCCGCAGGGCGAGCGAAGCGAGUCAAUCCCCCCCUCACCGCCA
rnacentral:sRNA from 1 species